ensembl:misc_RNA 7SK 7SK RNA
GGAUAUGAGGACAAUCUAGCUGCAACAUCUAUCACCCCAUUGAUAGUCAGGGUUGAUUUGGCUGAUUUGGCUGGCUAGGCAGGUGUCCCCUUCCUUCCUCACCACUACAUGUGUAUCCCUCACCAAGCUGUGUACUCUGUUGAAGAGGAUGGCCUUCCCGAAUAGAGAUGGACUGGUCUUCAGUUGAGAGUAUAUGAGUAGCUGCACUCCCCUGCUAGAACCUCCAAACAAACUCUAAAAAUCUGUGUUUAGGAUCAACUUACAGUCUGUUUUUUUUUUUUUUCCAAAAUAUACAGAAGUUAGCCAUUACUUUCUCU